AUUGAACGCUGGCGGCAGGCCUAACACAUGCAAGUCGAGCGCGCGGCGGACGGGUGAGUAAUGUAUGGGGACUGCCCGAUAGAGGGGGAUAACUACUGGAAACGGUAGAUAAUACCGCAUACUAUCGGAUAACCCAUAUGGGAUUAGCUAGUAGGUCAGGUAAUGGCUUACCUAGGCGACGAUCCCUAGCUGGUCUGAGAGGAUGAUCAGCCACACUGGGACUGAGACACGGCCCAGACUCCUACGGAGGCAGCAGUGGGGAAUAUUGCACAAUGGGCGCAAGCCUGAUGGAGCAAUGCCGCGUGAAUGAAGAAGGCCCUCGGAUUGUAAAGUACUUUUGUUCGGGAGGCGUUACCGACAGAAUAAGCACCGGCUAACUACGUGCCAGCAGCCGCGGUAAUAC
rnacentral:rRNA from 1 species